UACGGGGGGGGCAAGCGUUGUUCGGAAUUACUGGGCGUAAAGGGCGUGUAGGUGGCCAACUAAGUCCGACGUGAAAUCCCCAGGCUUAACCUGGGAACUGCGUCGGAUACUGGAUGGCUUGAAUUCGGGAGAGGGAUGCAGAAUUCCAGGUGUAGCGGUGAAAUGCGUAGAUAUCAGGAGGAACACCGGUGGCGAAGGCGGGUCUCUGGGCCGAAACUGACGCUGAGGAGCGAAAGCGUGGGGAGCGAACAGG
rnacentral:rRNA from 1 species